rnacentral:lncRNA from 1 species
CUCGCUAUUGUUCCAUCUGCAACUGAGCACCUUUUCUGCAGAAAGUAAAGACAGCCUUGCUAAGAGAUCAUUUGUCUCCAAGCUGACUUUUCUUUGCAGCACCGAUUAUCUAUUUCUAACAAUUUUGGGGGCUCGUCCAGGAUUACAGUCUCCUCUAGGGUGGGUCUCCAGUCCUCUCUUGUGAGAAGGCAUGCCCCACUACCUCGUUUUUGGCAGCCUCAGGGGUGAGGAACCGAGAUCCACCCAGUGUGAUGAAUAAACUGGGACUCUCAGCAACGUGGAAAGAAACUGGCUAGCAACGUAGGGUAAAGGAUCCUCACAUACUGCGGUAAUGACUCUGCACAGACCAAGGAAGGAGAAACCAUGGGAGCUGAGGCGUAUUGCUACAUUUGGGGCAAUGCGUACAUAUGUGGUUUCGUUAGCUCCAGCGGGGGCUAAUCCUCUGACAGAGCCACCUCUCACACGAAACACUGAAUGGAGGCGAUCCCGAGAUGGAUGGAGCAGCAGCAGCGCAGGUUGCUGCAGGACAGGACUAAUGGGAAGAUUGGAUGGGAUAAUGGAUCUCCUAAAGUAUCACACACCUAUAGCAACACGCAAACAAAGGAUACCAAUAAAGUAAUACUAUCGUGAAAGGUAUUAGAAAAUGUGAGGUGCUAUACAAAUACCAGUUAUUACAGAUAAGUACCACAGAAUUUGGAGUGCACCUAUGUUGAGCCCUAGCUAUUUCACUUACUAUAAAAUCAAUGUAUCCUCACUGUGUCUUCAGUGAAAUGUAAAAUGGAGUCUGUAUAGGGGUUAGGAACACAGACUCUAGAGUUUGACUGCCUGAGUUUAAAUACCAACUCUACUAUUUACUAGCUGUGUGACCUUAGGUAAAUUACUGAAUCCUUCUGUGUCUCAAUUUUCUCAUUAGUAAAAUGGGAUCAAUGUGAAGAUUAAAUGAGUUAAUGCAUAUAAAGCCCGUAGAAGAGUGCCUCUCUCAAAGUAACCCUAUAUACAUGUUUGCUGUUUCAACUGCAUAAUAAUAUUAAAAGAUUUUUUUCAAUCUU